rnacentral:miRNA from 1 species
UGUUCAACAUAGCCAUUCAAUUUGGAUGGUUAUGCCGUUGACUGUCUUCGGCAUUGAAUGGUUAUGCCAAAGACAGGCAAUAACAUAACCAUUCAAGUUGAAUGGUUAU